AGGGAUGGGGCAUCCUGAGAGCCAAACUGCCAUUAUUGUUAUUUCUGUUCUGGAUUUAGCCACUCAGCGGAGCUACUGGGCUCCAGGCCGGUACUGGGGAAUAUCUGCAAAGAGUCCUGUGAUGUUAUCCGUCUUCAGGUCUUUCAGCCAUGGAUACAAGCACCUGCUCUGGUGGAGGUAGCAGGGAACUGAAGUAGACUCUGUGAGGGGUCCGUGGUUGUAUUUUUAAGUGCACUGAUUUUGUGUUGGCUGGCCUCCAGCCAAAAGGUAGCACUUUCAAAAGUGCAUCAGCUGCAGUAGUAUAGGGAGGAUACAAGCUUGCCCAAGUAUCAGGUGGUGGGCAGGGCUAUAGAGCUCCCAAGAGAUUAUGUCCUUUGUCUCCAGCUACCAGGGUGGGUGGAGAAAGAUCAUCACGUUGAGGCGGGGUUAGGCUGUCUGAGUUCAGACUCUCCUUGGGUGGAGCUUGCUGCAGCUGCUGUGGGGGAUGGAGUUGUGGUUUCCCAGGCCAGUGGAGUUAUGGUCCCAGAGGGAUUAUGGCUGCCACUGCUGCAUCACACAGGUUGCCAGGAAAGUGGGGGAAACCCGGCAACCACAGGCCUCACCCGUCUCCCAUGCAGCCCAAAAGUCCAGUCUCACUCCCACCAUGUCCCCGCAAACAGCACUGAAUUUAUUUCCAGGCAACCAGUGAGCAAGGCUGAGAACUUGUCCCAGGUUACGAGACUCCCAGGUACAGUCAUGUGCCGCAUAAUGACAUUCAGUCAAUGACAGACUGCAUAUAUGAGGUGGUCCUGUAAGGUGAUAAUGGAGCUGAAAAAUUCCUACUACUGAACGACAUCAUAGCCAUUGUAACAUCAUAGCACAACCAAUCACCUUUUCUAUAUUUAGGUACAACACUGAAGGCACCGCCCAUGAAAGAAACAACUGAUAGGCUGAACUCCAUUAAAAUUAAAAGCUUUUGCUCUGCAAAUACAAGAGAAUGAGAACACAAACCGUGAUGCUGAAGUUACAAGUCUGAACCACACGUAGACUAUCAUAGCAAGAUGGCUACAGAAGUUCUGGAAAUAUACCAGACGUGGCAAUGCUGCAGAGGAAGGAGGGAGAAUAUGCCUUUCUGCAGAUCUUUCUUGGAGGAGAGAUAAGGAGUUCAUAUGCUGGAAUGAUAGUGACACAGGAGUUUAACACUCCUACAGUAUCCAGAGCCUGGAUCCCUGAGUCAUCAGAUGGAGAAGAACUACUCAGGAGAGUCAUCCAACCUUCAUAGACAGUGGCAUGAGUGGG
rnacentral:lncRNA from 1 species